CGGGGUAUAGCGCAGUCUGGUAGCGCGCCUGCUUUGGGAGCAGGAUGUCGGGAGCUGAACCUUGG
rnacentral:tRNA from 1 species